rnacentral:rRNA from 1 species
AUGAAGAACGCAGCUAGCUGCGAGAAUUAAUGUGAAUUGCAGGACACCUUGAUCAUCGACACUUCGAACGCACUUGCGGCCCCGGGUUCCUCCCGGGGCUACGCCUGUCAGAGCGUCG